AGAUUAAAACGAAAGAGUUUGAUCCUGGCUCAGAUUGAACGCUGGCGGCGUGCUUUACACAUGCAAG
rnacentral:rRNA from 1 species